GCAUUUAUAACUAAGUAUAAGAGUAUUAUUAAAACCGACAAAUGGAAGCAAGAAUAUAAUUUGAGACAUCAACUCACAAGAUGUACUGAGUGGCUUAAAGAUAAUGAGAUGAUAAGUAUUAGAGAUGACAAAUCUAAGAAAAUUGUAAUAUUUCCCUAUAGUAUGUAUGAUGAAAUGUUGUAUGAUUAUAUUACGGCAUCUGGAGCAGAGGUAAUACGACAGAUCCCACUGAAAGCCUACAGGUGAAAGUAAGAAGGAUUACCAAUAUGAACAGAUUCCCUGAAGUCUGGAAACCAAAAACCUUAAGCAACCUUGCAUGUCCUCCAUUGUAUGGCUUUGUUAAAACACAUAAAAUACCACCCACUAUAAGACCAAUGCUUGAUCGAAGAAAAUCACCAUUAACAUUAUUGGAGAAAAAACUUGCAAAACGGUGUUUAUACAAAAUGUCAGGAUAUCCGUAUUCUGUGCCCUCUUCUGCCCAGUUUGUUAACUUAGUUGCACACAAAACCCUACAACCAUAUCAAACCAUGGUAGUAGUGGAUUAUGAAAGUUUAUACCCC
rnacentral:lncRNA from 1 species